GCUUAACGCGAAGAACCUUACCUGGGUUUGACAUGGUGGGAAGAGCCACAGAGAUGUGGUGUCCUUUUGGGCCCAUCACAGGUGGUGCAUGGCUGUCGUCAGCUCGUGUCGUGAGAUGUUGGGUUAAGUCCCGCAACGAGCGCAACCCUUGUCCUAUGUUGCCAGCACGUAAUGGUGGGGACUCGUAGGAGACUGCCGGGGUCAACUCGGAGGAAGGUGGGGACGACGUCAAGUCAUCAUGCCCCUUAUGUCCAGGGCUGCAAACAUGCUACAAUGGCCGGUACAAAGGGCUGCGAGACCGCGAGGUUGAGCGAAUCCCACAAAGCCGGUCUCAGUUCGGAUCGGAGUCUGCAACUCGACUCCGUGAAGCUGGAGUUGCUAGUAAUCCCGGAUCAGCAACGCCGGGGUGAAUACGUUCCCGGGUCUUAUACACACCG
rnacentral:rRNA from 1 species